rnacentral:lncRNA from 1 species
GACCUUCAGUUUGGAUGCUGGUGCUAGGUCCUCGAUUGAUCUUUUAAGUAGGAUCCUACAAAACUAUCAAAAAUAAGAAAGUUCUCAUGCUGGAGGGUUCUUCGGUGGUGGACCCUCUGAUGCUUAAGUUAGUCUCCCAUAGAAGCAAAUAGAAGAGGUCUAAGCUUGUAUAUAGAGCAUAGUAGUAGAAUCGAGUAUAAAAUGUGGUAGAUUGGAGUAAGAGAAUGAAAAGUAGAAACACAAAGGAUGUUGUGUAGAGGAUGG